rnacentral:lncRNA from 1 species
UUUGUGAGAACUCUGCACGAAGAAUGUUUCUCACUGUCACUUCCUGCCACCGGGCUCGUCUUCCUGUGAAAAUUCAGCCCCUCUUCCUCAGUUACCCCUUUGCAACAGAACGAGGCCGGCAUUUUCUAAAGCGUCCUUGAGGAGUCCAGUUCCUAAAAGAUUAUUUCAGAGUCCACUGUUGUGGGCUGACUUGAAUGCUCUCAAAAUUCGUAAGUUGAAGCCCUGACCCCCAGGACCUCAGAACGUGACUGUGCUUGGACACAGGGACUUUCCAGAGGUGAUUAAGGUGAAGUGAGGUCACUGGAUGGCCCUCCUCCUAUCUGACUGGUGUCCUGAUGGGGACGCGGACACCCACACAGGAACGGACCCGGGGAGAACAACACAUCGUCUCUGCGCCAGGGAGAGAGGCGUCCGGGGAACCCAGCCGUGCCCACGCAUUUAUCUCCGCCUUCCGGCUCAGAAUUGUCUGGGUCACUUGCGACCCUCCUCUCAGGCUGCUUCUGACAGGCCCAAGUCACAGCCAACUUCAGGGGAGCUGUGUUGGAUCCCUCCAAACUCCGGGAAUGAUGUGACCUCCCCGGCGCUCACCCUGGGCCUCUAGGUUAGACUCAGCCCAGACCCUGGCUCACAGGGAAGCAGAGCCCAUGGCUGGCCUCCACCCGCUCAGACGCCCGCACACAGGCCAGGGGAGGGCUUGGGGGCAGCUCUGGGAGGGUCCCUGUUUGCGCUGUGGGUGUCCAAGGCUGGGUGUGCAGAGCUGAGGUUGCCACACACCUGAGGGACUCUCGCAUAAGGAUGGCGCAGGGCUGGAAGCUGGACUGAGACAGUGAAUGAGACAGCGCUGCCGGCUCUCUCCGCGCCGUGGACUGGCUCCUAGGCAGUCUCACGAGCAAGUGUGCUGUUGCUCGUGCACGUGUGUUUUAACUGAGAUGUGAGCUGGCGCGUUUUCUCCACCCGGCUCCAUCUGCUGGGUCCCUCCACAUUGCUGCGCGUGUGCCUCCAGUGCCAUGGGGUCCCCACUGUGGGCAGCCCUGCAUUUUGCCCAACUGCCUCCCAAACCAUGGAACCCCAGUGACCUCCAACUUGCCGCCAUGACGAGCCACUCUCAUUCAUAUCCUCAAACACGGUGCUCUGAGCCCGAAUGAGGGUUUCUUUAGAGAGAUAUCUGGGGACCAAACUGUAGGGACAGAGCUCCCGUCUAAGGUGGGCCUGUGGUGAGGUCUCCCCAGUGGUACACUUUAAUCCCACAGCAGGGCUUGCAGGCCGCCCUGCUCCAUCCCCACCAACACUGGGCAGGAUCUAGCCUCCAAACCUUUGCCAGUCUAAUAGUAUAAAAUGAUAGCUCGGUGCUAUUUUGGUUUUGCAUUUCCAUGGUGAACAAUGAGUUUGAGAGUUUUUGUUCAAAAGUCCUUUGGGAGUUCGAGACCAGACUGGGCCACCAGGAGUUCAAGACCAGCCCGGGCAAUUCAGUGAGAUGUUCAUCUCUACAAAAAAUAAGAAAGAUAAAAAAUUAGCCAGGCAUGUUUGUGUGUGCCUGUGGUCCCAGCUCCUCAGGAGGCUGAGGUGGGAGGAUGGCUUGACCCCGGGAGGUGGAGGCUGCAGUGAGUUGUGAUCGUGUCAGUGCACGGCUAGCCUGGGCAACAGAGUGAGACCCCGUUUCUAAAAUAAAAAUAAAAAACAAAAGAGAAAAGUCCUUUGGGUUUCGUCUUGGUAUUACUCAGCAGAGGACAGAGGUGUCAGUUUCCAUCCUCCGGCAAGCAGAUGCUGAGACAAAGCUCGGUGGGAGGUGACACCCAAGAGGAAGGGGCGGGAUUGGACAGGGACAGCCUUCAGAUCACAAUGGGGAUCGGACCCCUGGGAGGGGAGAGAGGGAGGAAGAGAACUGGUCGGCUGUGAAGCAGAUCUGAUAGGGCCCUGCUGCGACACCAACAGCAGCUCAGGGCCAAGGAUGCUGUUGCAGGAACAAGGGACAGACCCCCCAUACCACUGGCUCAGUGCCUGGAGCACGUGGCCUCUGUGGCUGCAGCCCGAGGCUGUCGGCUGAGGCACUCCACACACCUGGAGAGCACGUUCUCUGUGGAAGGAGACUGCAGCAUUCCCACGGCUCCAGAGCAGUAGUGGCGGCACCUGGAGAAAGAAGUCCACCACCUUCCUGAUGGCGGACUCUUUCUGCAGGCUCGCUGCAGUAACAGACUGGGAGCUCCGGACCUGGCGUAUUGCUAGCUCAGUCUGACGGGGUCCCGGCUUUCCUCUGAGGUUCUCCUCCCAAGAGUGCCGAGAUUGAUGCUGUCCCAUCCAGCGUCUCCGCGGUCACCAGCUCUUCACAUCCCUGGGUGAAGAUGGGGAGACAGUGCGCGUAGCUUACUCCCGAGUGACUUGGGAUAGAAGCCACGGCACAGAACUCUACAAGGGACACUGGUGCACUGAAGAGCAGGGUGCGGUUCUGACCAGAAGCAUCUGUGCAUCUGGAGGGCAGAGGGUGCGUGGGCACGGGGGUCUGGGCAGGCCUCCCAGGGCAGAGGUCAAGAGGAGGGCGGGAGGCCUCUAGCUUGGUGGUUAAGAGCUCAGCCUUCAGAGUUUGUUUUCUCAGCUCUAUCCUUGACGAGCUUCGUGAGCUGUAACUGGCCAGGGGCUGCCCCCAGAAAAGCUGGCCUCCAGCUCCCCGCAUCCUGAGGCCCCAGAUCAAGUUUCUUGGGCCCCAAUUUCCUGUCAUCAAAGAGAUGAUAGUACAUUCCUCAGAGGCGGGCUGUGAAUACAUGAAACGCAAGGUCUUAGGCACCCAGCAUGCGCUCAGGAAGCGUGGCUUGUGAUUACCCGGCAGUGCGGUGGGAGGCUCCUAGCAGCUGUGUGUGCUGUGAGUGGGGUGGCUGGGGUCCCUGUGGGAGGUGCUUCAGAGUGGGGGCUGGAUGGCGGCUCCCGAGGGGCAUGGGGAGAAAGACAGGAGCAGAGGGGCUGCCACGCACUGCCCUUUUCCCCUUCCACCCCAGUCCCCUUCUCAGUGCACCCUUGGAACUUCACCCCCUCCCUGCCAGCUGCCCCCACCGCCUUCCCCUGUCCUGAAGCCCCUGUCCCUACCAUCCGCCCCAGACACUUCCAUGCUCUUCUUGAGGGUGGGCUGUCUCCAGGUGCCGCUCAUUCCCCGGCCGGGCUGCUGUGCUCUCACUGAAGCUCAGGUGCUCUCAGAAGCAGAAGGAAUGAGGGGUGGAGGGGCCAGUGUCCUCCUGGCCUGAGGACAGGGCUGGGGAGGCAGGGGCAGAGGUGGCCUGUCCCCUGCUGGCCAGGGCUGACACGCGGUAAUGGCUAUUACCAAGUGGGCCAUUUCUCCCUCCUGCCCCUCCAGGCAUCUCAUCCCCCCACACUGCAGGAGGUGAGGUCUGCACAAGGCCUCUGCUCCCCUGGGAAUAAGCCCAUGCGUUCCAUGGUGCCUCCUAAGCCCCUGAACUGGAGCCCACCCCAGUACUGGCGGGGGCCUGAUUGCUGGAGUGAAGGCUUCCUCCUUCCUGGCCACCCCAUUCCCCUCAUCUCUGGGACAGAAACCGACAAUAAACGCCUGCCCGAGACCUGGGUUGGAAAAACAGAGUGAACACACACCAUCACAUGGCAGGAGGCCAGGUGCACAGAGCCCUCCCUGCAGUUAGUUCCCCAGGAACUGGGGCUGCAGGGAUGGCCCAGAGCUCUCAGCCAACAUCAAAGGGCCACAGCACCGGGGCUGGUGGCUCCUGGCCAAGUCAGCACCGACCACAGAGCUCCCCUCUCUGCCUAGACCCAGGGCUCUGCCCUGACAGCCUAGAGAAGGGCCUGGCUGGUGGUGCCUGGCUGGGUGGCUCCCUGCCUAGGAGGUGCUUUCCCCAAGCGCUGGGCCUUGAAGGGCCGGUGGGUUGUGAGGGCAAGAGUCUUGCUAGAGGAGAGGGGAGAGAUGGCGAGAUGCAGGACCAGAGCCUGGGGGGGUGAAAAUCAUGUUCACCCCCAUGGUGAAAUCACGGCCAUGGUGAAGACCAGUCCCACCCACUGAGCGGAGCAGAGACCCCUCCCAUUAGCUGCACGCGAUUGCUCCGAGAUAACAAAGCAUUGGCAGAUGCUGGUGGAGCAGGCCUGCCCUUGACGUGGGCAAGAAGCUUGGGGAAAAAGACAAUUUCCUGCUUGUCUUUUCUUGUCAAAAUACAUGGCCACACCAGGGGAAGGACAGGAAGAAUUCUCUUACCAGCCAGCAGCGGCAACUUAGCAGCUACAGACACAGAGCGCAGGGGACGGGCGGGAAUGACUGGCCAUGGAGGAGCCGAGAGAGUCGGGACCUGCAGGAGCUGCCUGCUGAGGCGGUCUGGCUGGGCAGGUGGUCCCUGUGCUGGGGCCUCCGGGUGGAAGGCAUCCCAGCCCCCCGAGGGAACAAGUUUGGUCCGAGAUACAUUUUUGAAAGGUAUUUAAUUCUCUAAAAACAUUUUUAAAAGAAGUGAGACCCACUGGGGAAAGGGAGCUGCUGGCUGCCAGGUGCCUCUCUCUCCUUUUCUCCCGAGAAAGACCUGGCAGCCACUCUGCCGGGGAGACAACCGGGGGCUAGAGGGGCAGGCCCUGGGCCGGGCGCAGUGGCUCACGCCUGUAAUCCCAGCACUCUGGGAGGCUGAGGUGGGCGGAUCACCUGAGGUCGGGAGUUCGAGAUCAGCCUGACCAACAUGGAGAAACCGCAUCUCUACUAAAAAUACAAAAUUAGCCGGGCAUGGUGGCGUGUGC